rnacentral:rRNA from 1 species
AUACGGAGGAUGCGAGCGUUAUCCGGAUUUAUUGGGUUUAAAGGGAGCGUAGGUGGGAUAUUAAGUCAGCUGUGAAAGUUUGGGGCUCAACCUUAAAAUUGCAGUUGAUACUGGUCGUCUUGAGUGCAGUAGAGGUAGGCGGAAUUCGUGGUGUAGCGGUGAAAUGCUUAGAUAUCACGAAGAACUCCGAUUGCGAAGGCAGCUUACUGGACUGUAACUGACGCUGAUGCUCGAAAGUGUGGGUAUCAAACAGGAUUAGAUACCCUGGUAGUCCACACAGUAAACGAUGAAUACUCGCUGUUUGCGAUAUACGGCAAGCGGCCAAGCGAAAGCAUUAAGUAUUCCACCUGGGGAGUACGCCGGCAACGGUGAAACUCAAAUGAAUUGACGGGG